rnacentral:misc_RNA from 1 species
GAUGAAGAAGCAGCGAAAUGCGAUACUUGGUGUGAAUUGCAGAAUCCCGUGAACCAUCGAGUCUUUGAACGCAAGUUGCGCCCGAAGCCAUUAGGCCGAGGGCACGCCUGCCUGGGCGUCACACGUCGUUGCCCCCCCAUCUACUCCUUCGGGAUUGCGGGGGGCGGAUGAUGGCCUCUCGUGCGCCUCGUCGCGCGGUUGGCCUAAAUGCCAAGUCCUCGGCGACGCACGCCACGACAAUCGGUGGUUGCGAAACCUCGGUUGCCUGUCGUGUGCGGUCGUCGCGCAUCGAGGGCUCGAAAAAAUUGCCGGGCUUCGGCUCGACUUUCAACGCGACCCCAGGUCAGGCGGGGUUACCCGCUGAAUUUAAGCAUAUCAAUAAGCGGAGGA